rnacentral:rRNA from 1 species
CAGUCGAACGGUGGUAGCAAUACUACAGUGGCGCACGGGUGAGUAACACGUAGCUUACCUCCCUCUCAGCGCGGGAUAACGACUCGAAAGAGUUGCUAAUACCGCAUAAGCUCACAGUCUCUAGAGGACUGUGAGAAAAGGUGCAAAUCACUGAGAGACGGGGCUGCGGCCCAUCAGCUAGUUGGGGCGGUAAUGGCGCACCAAGGCGACGACGGGUAGGGGACCUGAGAGGGUGACCCCCCACACUGGGACUGAGACACGGCCCAGACUCCUACGGGAGGCAGCAGUGAGGAAUAUUGCACAAUGGGCGCAAGCCUGAUGCAGCGACGCCGCGUGGGUGAAGAAGGUCUUCGGAUCGUAAAGCCCUUUUCUGCGUGACGAGCAAGGACGGUAGCGCAGGAAUAAGUCUCGGCUAACUACGUGCCAGCAGCCGCGGUAAAACGUAGGAGACAAACGUUAUCCGGAGUUACUGGGCGUAAAGGGCGUGUAGGCGGUUUGUUAAGUCUGGCGUGAAAGCUCUCGGCUAAACCGGGAGAGGUCGUUGGAUACUGGCGAACUAGAGGAUGGUAGAGGCGUGUGGAAUUCCGGGUGUAGUGGUGAAAAUGCGUAGAGAUCCGGAGGAACACCAGUGGCGAAGGCGACACGCUGGGCCAUACCUGACGCUAAAGCGCGACAGCAUGGGGAGCAAACGGGAUUAAAACCCCGGUAGUCCAUGCCGUAAACGAUGCCAGCUAGAUUUUCAGUUCUCGCAGAGAGCGGGGUUAUCGA